rnacentral:rRNA from 1 species
GCCAUAUCAUACCUGUUCUCAUACAAUCACCAAAGUUAAGCAACAUUGAGCCUGAUCAGUACCUAGAUGGGUGACUGCUUGGGAAUACCAGGUGUUGUAAG